rnacentral:rRNA from 1 species
UGGGGAAUUUUGGACAAUGGGCGAAAGCCUGAUCCAGCAAUGCCGCGUGUGUGAAGAAGGCCUUCGGGUUGUAAAGCACUUUUGUCCGGAAAGAAAUCCUUGGCUCUAAUACAGUCGGGGGAUGACGGUACCGGAAGAAUAAGCACCGGCUAACUACGUGCCAGCAGCCGCGGUAAUACGUAGGGUGCAAGCGUUAAGUCGGAAUUACUGGGCGUAAAGCGUGCGCAGGCGGUUUGCUAAGACCGAUGUGAAAUCCCCGGGCUCAACCUGGGAACUGCAUUGGUGACUGGCAGGCUAGAGUAUGGCAGAGGGGGGUAGAAUUCCACGUGUAGCAGUGAAAUGCGUAGAGAUGUGGAGAAUACCGAUGGCGAAGGCAGCCCCCUGGGCCAAUACUGACGCUCAUGCAUGAAAGCGUGGGGAGCAAACAGGAUUAGAUACCCUGGUAGUCCACGCCCUAAACGAUGUCAACUAGUUGUUGGGGAUUCAUUUCCUUAGUAACGUAGCUAACGCGUGAAGUUGACCGCCUGGGGAGUACGGUCGCAAGAUUAAAACUCAAAGGAAUUGACGGGGUCAUAGCUGUUUCCU